CCAGAGUCACCCGCUGAGCCAGCCAAAGAUGCCUUCGUUCUCCCAGCUCAAAAACAAAUCUCGAUCUCGUCUCCUACUCUCCGUUCCCCUCCCUCUUGCCGUCUCCGCGUCGGCCCUCCCCGCCCUGCCCCGCCGACCGUUGUAGCUGCGCCUCCCCACCGUACUCGCGCCGCCCCGCUCUACCCCGCUGCUCCGCCAUACCCGCUCCACCUCGCCGUAGCUGUGCCUCCCUGCUGUAGUGGCGCCGCCCCGCCGUACCCACGCCGCCCCCUGCCCGCGCCACCCCGCCCUCCACAGCGCCGCUGGCACCUUUCCUGCGAGGACCGCCUCCGCUGUCAUGGCUGCACCGCCGCUAGAACGCGGUUGCGGGACCAUGCCUGGAACCACGGCAGCGGCGGUGUCCGUCUUUCUCGUGGUGACUCCCUGUGGUGUGACCGUCCCCUUCUGGUUCUACGACCACCGGACCGUCUUUUCACAUCCUGUGAGCGCCGCCCCCUUCUGGUUCGUCCUCUCUCCCUCUCAAUCUUUUCUAGCUCUCUCUCUAUCUCUAUAUCUAGGUCUCUUUAUGUGCAGAUGUGCUUGGAUUUAGUUUUUUUUAUGAACUUUGCAAUGUGCCAUCUUCUAGGUGUAUUUCUAAUUCUUUAUGUCGAUGUCUAUUUGCUGCAUAAUUGUGUCCAGGGAUGUUUGUUUAAUUGGUCUAUUUGCUUCAUAAUUGUGAAGUUUGGCUAUACUCCUUUUUCAUUAUUCAGAUGCCUAGGCAUGUGAUCAUCUGUUUGUUGCGAACAGGAUAGAAUGUUGUAGAAUGGAAACUCAAUUGGAAGUCCCAUAAGAGAUAUAGCAGUGCAUGCACACCUUAGUUAAUUAGAGAAUAUGGAGAUGAAUAUUGCAAUUUUAGCAUAUUCAAUCGAAUUCAGUUUUUGUAGUGGAAUGUUUCAUGAAAUAAAGUCAAUUUUUUUAUGAUGCACUGCUAUAUCAGUUUGUUCACUUAAUUGUGAUGCAUGCAUACUUGUAUCAGUGCUCACUGAAAGAUGCUCAGACUUCAUCAUUUAGAUAGCCUCAUAGCCAUCAUAAUAUGCUGCUUGUUUUCCCUUGCCUUAUUUCUUUUGUGACCAGUUAUGCAUAACUAUUCUCAUCAUUAGACAUUCUGUUACAAUUGUUUUGGGUAUACAUGCAUGAUUUAUCUGAAAUAAGUGAAUUGGAAAUUAAAAACACUCACAUUAGCAUUCGAACUAAAAUUUCCUGUGUUGACAAAGGGUCAUAUCUAAGCAUCACAAACAUACUGGAACCUGAAUGUGCCUACUCAAGUUUGUUGGUUUGGACCACAGUUUUUCGCCUCUAACAUCUCAUAAACAUGUUUAUGUUUCUGAUCUCUAGCUUCUUUUGCUGGGUCGUGCAAGAAGAAUAGAAGGAAUCCGGUGAUGCUAGUUCUGUGAUGACAGAUUGAGUAAUCUGAAUGCGCUACUCUCCUUUAUAUUCCUUGGAAUUAAUUUGUCAUUCAUGGUUUCUUUCUAAGGCAUUUUAGCUUUAUAUGAUUCUUUGAAAAAAUGAUUUGCUUUGUGCUAUCUGAAUGAUGUGUGAAAUCUUAGCAAUUGAUUUAGUUCUUACUGCUACAUGUACUAUCUAAAUGUCCUAUAAUUUGAGCAUUGUUUGUGCAACACAAUUGUGUGAAGCCUGCUGAUCACAUGUAAAUGUUCUAGAGCUUGGUGUUCAGCGGUAUGUACAAUAUCGACACAGCUAACUGUAGUACUACUUGCAACAUUAUUUUGCUUUGUCUAAUUAAUUUUUACAUGCUUUUCAGAGAAAUACAAAUUUUUGCUGGCCAGAUUGAAGGAAUAGAGAACAAAUUGAUCUUCCGUGCUACAAAGCAAUCAAAUCAAGAUGGGUUAUUUGGAGGUUUCUUUGAGCCCGGAACAGGAGCGCUUGCUUUCUCAUCGCUGCUCAUGAGCAACCAAAUGCCAACAACUUAAUAAGUUUUGUGUAUGCUUUUUUUUGGUGUAGCAAACUAUAGCCAUUUACUGAUCUGUUAUGGUUGUAAAUGAGGUAGUUUUUUGUGUAGCACAAACACUUGCUACUGAUCACGAACAUGUUAUUUGAAUGAAGACUUGAGAUUGAUUGGAACAAUUUGUGUUAUGUGUA